rnacentral:rRNA from 1 species
UACGUAGGGGGCGAGCGUUGUCCGGAUUUAUUGGGCGUAAAGAGCUCGUAGGCGGUUCGAUAAGUCGGAUGUGAAAUCUCCACGCUCAACGUGGAGGGGCCGUUCGAUACUGUCGUGACUCGAGUCCGGUAGGGGAGUGUGGAAUUCCCGGUGUAGCGGUGAAAUGCGCAGAGAUCGGGAGGAACACCCGUAGCGAAGGCGGCACUCUGGGCCGGUACUGACGCUGAGGAGCGAAAGCGUGGGGAGCGAACAGG